UGACCUCAAAUCAGGUAAGAAUACCCGCUGAACUA
rnacentral:rRNA from 1 species